AGUGUGUGAGGAAGGGAUGGAGUGUUCUUUCGACCAAUCGAUUGGUCGAAAUGUUGAAACUUAUUUUUCCAUAUAUA
rnacentral:snoRNA from 1 species